AGAAGGAAGGAGCCAUAUUGAAUAACAUGUCGCAGGCGACCUACUUUUCAAAUGGGCGGAUGAAGACCGAUGUUUGUCGACCGAGAUGGAGAGGCACAACCGAGAUCACCGUACGACAGCGCGCCCCGGAAAAACAUUCAUGUCGAGCCUUGAUGGCCUGUGAGAGAGAAGUUACCAUGGUUAUAAGCCUUCUACUUGUAUCGUAGUUCCUCUUUAGAACAACGACCACGUGUCAACACUGUUACUUGGAUACACAAAUUCCGAAGCACAAAUAUCCAGGCCUACGAAUGCGUUAUCGACAAGUGAAUAUACGACGAUAUAUGCUUUGGCGACAUCAUUCACGAGAACGAACACACGGAAACAUCUUAAAUACGUCACACGCUAUCACAUUAUUCACAUUUCACAUUUAUUUUUUUGAGAUACAAAUUAAAAAUUACUCAACUCGUUGACAGUGUAAAUCACAGUUUGAGUUCUGUGGUUAUAUUUGAUUCACAGCACUGGGGUAGAAUUAGACAAAUAGGCGCUUCAAAUGGUGAUUAAACGCAAAGAAGAGGGAGGUAUCAAACUGACGUUCGGAGAUUUAAAUCUGAAUUGAAAACCACAUCUCAGACGAAGAUCUCUUUGUAUUAGGCUUUUCCCCACUAAACGUUUUAUUCAGGCAUUUUCUUCUUUACUGAAGUAAAUAGUGCUACCCGCACAAGACACUCAGAGGCCUAGUUAACAGUGAAGAGACUACAGACUUACAAACCAGCGCAUCAAUACACAUCAUGUGUCCCAACCCACAGUAGUGAAAGGUAACCAACUUCCAAAGACGUUCCAAGGCGUUGGUUUCAGAAAUGCAGGGGAGGGGGCUGACAAAACAUUAAGAACCUUACGUUUUUCGCCAUCAUAUGAAAAAGUAAGAGUGUACCAGGAAGCCUUUGUAUGUUGUUUCACCUUCUGGUAUUCACGUAAAGCAACAGGAGGGUUUGCAGGAACACUAGUAUGGGAUGCAAACCCUCUACACAUACACACACACACAAACACAAAACUCAAGUAUUAAAAGAUGGUAGGCAAACCAAAGACGGUAAAGAACUCCCCCUACUCACAUAGGCCUACCAUCAUCUUCCUUAGAGUGGGUGAAAAAUACUUUCUGGAAGUAGAAGAAGGAAAAGCGAAGCGGGAAGCAAGUUAGAAGAAGAGGAAGAGACUGGUUACAGAUGAACACGUUGUGGUGUAAGACGAAACCGCAAGUUUGAACCACCAGCAUAGAGAUGCUCCAAGCCUCUGACUGUGGGAUGCAAACCCAUAAACCAAGCUUCCUCCGUUCUCGUGUCUUCAGUUAUAGCCUCAACAAAACGGAUGGCGGGAACACCAAUCGAACUUGCACAAGACUUCACAACAGCAACAAAAAAAGUAGAGACAGACAGCAUAAAAACUAACUCACCCAUGUAAUACAUAAAAAGUAGAGGUACUUUCUUCAGAAUGAUAUACUGUGUAAGACAUUUUACUUUAGUCAUUCUCUAAGUUCGUUAUUUAUGGAACACCUUGUAGCUGUUUUCCAUCAUCUCGUCUGGAUCGAUUCUCUGAUGAACCACAUGCCGACUCGGUGGCGCUAGCUGUCACAUGUUCACAUUUUCCACAUUCAUUUACACAUUUCGUUAAAUUUUCAUACAAAAUCUGAGAAUGUUCUCGGUUUGUUACAUAAUUAUCUGUGUUGAUCGAUAUCUCUUAGUCGAACUCAUUCCAAAAGCAUGUCACAGUAAGAUACAAAGCAAUGUGUAACGAGAAUAGGAAUUAAGAUUUUAUCUUGUAGUUUUAUUUAUGUCUGUAUAUAUUUAACUAUAUAAAAAACUAUGACAUUUC